CCAAUCAUAUGCUUGCCAUUAAAAUCCGGAUUCAAAAGUCCAAAAAUCCAUCAAAACCUCCCAAAAAUCAAUAACUAAGCUUAAUUAUCCAAAUCUAAGCUAAAACUCACCCCUCAAAUCUCGAAUUUAGGUGGGAAAAGCUUCUAAACUAGUAGGGGAUGAUGAAAAACCAAUCUCAACAUCAAAAAUCCCGCUCCUAACGUAUUAGGAUCCAAAAACACCAAGAAACCUCAAUUUCAUCUCAAGAACACCAAAAUCUCAAGAAAAAUA
rnacentral:lncRNA from 1 species